rnacentral:lncRNA from 1 species
CUCUUGUUAUUUAUUACAAGCCUCUUUCAACUACACCUGAAUUUAUGUUAAUGAGAUGAUUCUUGGAAAGCCCCUAAGUAUGGGGAGCUGGUUGCCAGGGGAACCAACCAUGUGAUUAGAGGGUGGGAACUUUUAGCCCCAUUCCCUGAACUCUGGGGAGAGGAGAGCGGCUGGAAGUUGAAUCAAUCAUCAAUGGGCAAUGAUUUAAUAAAUCGUGACUACAUAAUGAAGCCUCCAUAAAAAUCCAAAAGGAUGGGGUUUGGAGAGCUUCCAGGUUGGUGAACAAGAACACAUCCAUAUGCUGGGAGAGUGGCACACCCCAAAUUCCUUGGGGACAGAAAGAAGCUCCUGUGCUCAGGAUCCUUCCAUACCUUGCCCUAUGUAUCUCUUCAUCUGGCUGUUCAUUCGGAUCCUUUGCAAUAAACCGAGAGAUGAUGGUUGCCUUCCGGUGGUUGUUUGAAAUGGGUUUUCUGGACCGUUAUGAAAGAAUCAUGGCCACCAAAAUUCCCUCAUCUAAUCUACCUGAGAGAUACCUAUGGUGGCUCUCAAUUGGCUCUCAAGUUGAAUUCCAUUUCCUGAUCCUGGGUGGAGCAUACAACCUGUUUGUCCUAUCAUCUGGCGACGCACAUUUGUUAAUGUCAAGCUUUGGAAAGAUUAGAUCCUCUAUGUGUCAUGGCUGUUAUACUACUUUUUCUGUUUCAUUUUCAAGGGCAACCCAAAUGGAGACCAUAGUCCCCAGCCUCCUUUGCAGCCAUGUAUGGCCACUCAACUAAACUCUUGCUAAUAAAAUAGAAGCACAAGCAAUGUUUGCUCGAUCUGGACUUCCUCUGUUUCCUCUUCACACGUGCUGGAAGCCAAAUGAGGCAGCGGAGAACGCUGGGCAGAGGAGGGCUGCAUGCUAGGGGAUGGCACAGCACCAACGGGGAAGGAUAUCUUGAUGUCAUUGAGCCAUGUCUCUAAUCUACAUGUCGAAUUUGCAUGAGAAAGAAAUACACUUCUGUAUUGUAGCCAAUGUAUGUUUUUAUCUUUGUUGUGGAAGACAAUCUUUAUCCUAACUAAGCCAGAUAGGGUUUUUUUGUUGUUGUUGUCCUUGAUUAAUCAUUUUUAGUAUGCUUUCAACUUAUAAAUGGAAUAUGGAAUAAAUAUUUUAUUAUUUUCAUGAUAAAAAUGCUUUAUAUUUCUGUAGGGUAUUUCUUUUAUCAGGAUCUUUCUCCAUAUUCUGCUCUAUGAUAGUUACAACAAUCCUGUGGUGGCAGUUAAGAUGAUUCAUUAUCCCUAUUAUACAAGGAAGGAAACAAGUUGAUUCGCAAUUGGACCUUGAUCUUUCCAAAUUAUCUCAGGAACUUGUACAAGUUCAGAGGAAAUGUAGAUUGAUGACUAUAUAUUAAUGUCAAUGAAAAAUAUUUUAUUAAAUUAAAACCCACGAUUUUAAUAAGGUAUCUCACUCUUUUGUAGAACUUAAUAAAUAUAGCUUUUUAAAACUGCAUUCAUUUAACUAAUUUAUCUCUUUAAUAAAAUAAAAAUAUAUUAAUUAGUGCAUUUUCAAAUUAAAUGUCUGAAAUAUUAAGAAAUCUUACAUUUACUUUCUUUUUCUAUUUAUAAAUGUAGCAAAUUUGGAAAAUAUAAAGGAGAUGUUAAAAAUUACUCAUAGUCCUAAAUAAUUCAAAUUAAACACUAUUAAUCUUCAUCAAAAUUAUUUUAGUAAUUUCAUGGAUAUCCAUGUUUUCAUGAAUUUAUGAACGAAUUUUUAAAUGACAUAUUUUAUACUUGCUUAUUGUAAAACUAAGUAACAGAGGAAAGAAAAAUCUGAAAAUUAUGUGUAACUACAAGACUCAGAGAUAACUACUGUUAAUAUAUGUGUAUACUUAUUUACAAAAAUAAAAAAUGCUGUUUUAAACAUUUUCACUUAAUGAUAAUGGCUAACAUUCAAGAUCCCCAUUAGGGCCAGGCGCUGCACUACAAAUGUUCCACCCAUUUACCUUGUUUAACAUUCAGAAGAAGCCUGUAAGGUAAGUGCUAUAAUUAUCACCAUCUUUACACAAGGAGGAACUGAGGCUUGGGUAUGUUAAACAACUUAGGAAUCAUAAUGAAGGUAUGAAAGUAUCAAAUAGUGUCACAGGUUGUCUGUAUGCAAAACCUGCACUCCAGACAUUUUGCUAUGCUAUUUGAAUGUCAAGAAACAUGACGCUGCAAUGUAUCCCAUCCUAUGCAUAUGCCACAAGUGUCCCAAUCAAUCUUUUACUUCUGGCUAUAUAAGUUGUUUCCUAAUAUUAACAGCAUGUAUUUGUUGUUAAACCUUC